AUUGAACGCUGGCGGCAGGCUUAACACGAGCAAGUCGAGCGGAGUGAUGGUGCUUGCACUAUCACUUAGCGGCGGACGGGUGAGUAAUGCUUAGGAAUCUGCCUAUUAGUGGGGGACAACAUCUCGAAAGGGGUGCUAAUACCGCAUACGUCCUACGGGAGAAAGCAGGGGAUCACUUGUGACCUUGCGCUAAUAGAUGAGCCUAAGUCGGAUUAGCUAGUUGGUGGGGUAAAGGCCUACCAAGGCGACGAUCUGUAGCGGGUCUGAGAGGAUGAGCCGCCACACUGGGACUGAGACACGGCCCAGACUCCUACGGGAGGCAGCAGUGGGGAAUAUUGGACAAUGGGGGGAACCCUGAUCCAGCCAUGCCGCGUGUGUGAAGGAGGCCUUAUGGUUGUAAAGCACUUUAAGCGAGGAGGAGGCUCUUUUGGUUAAUACCCAAGAUGAGUGGACGUUACUCGCAGAAUAAGCACCGGCUAACUCUGUGCCAGCCGCCGCGGUAA
rnacentral:rRNA from 1 species